rnacentral:rRNA from 1 species
AUAGCGAAUAGUACCGUGAGGGAAAGGUGAAAAGAACCCCGGGAGGGGAGUGAAAAAGAACCUGAAACCAUAUGCUUACAAACUGUAGGAGCAAGCAAGCAAUUGCAAGUGACUGCGUACUUUUUGUAGAACGGGCCAACGAGUUGCGAUAUGAUGCAAGGUUAAAUACUUAAGGUAUGGAGCCGAAGCGAAAGCGAGUCUUAAGAGGGCAAGAGUACCAUAUUGCAGACCCGAAACCGGGCGACCUAUCCAUGUCCAGAUUGAAGUUUCCGUAACAGGGAAUGGAGGAUCGAACCCACGUACGUUGAAAAGUGCGGGGAUGAGGUGUGGAUAGCGGUGAAAUUCCAAUCGAGCUCGGAGAUAGCUGGUUCUCUCCGAAAUAGCUUUAGGGCUAGCGUUUUGCAAGAUAUAUAUGGAGGUAAAGCACUGACUGUCCAAUGGGUCUUUUAGAUUACUGAGGAUUAUCAAACUAAGAAUGCCAUAUAUAGCGCAAAGCAGUCAGACUAUGAGUGAUAAGGUCCAUAGUCGAGAGGGAAAGAGCCCAGACCAACAGCUAAGGUCCCAAAAUAUAUGUUAAGUGGGAAAGGAUGUGAGAUUGCAUAGACAACCAGGAUGUUGGCUUAGAAGCAGCCAUACAUUUAAAGAGUGCGUAAUAGCUCACUGGUCGAGUGAUCCUGCGCCGAAAAUUACCGGGGCUAAAACAUAAUACCGAAGCUUUGGAUUAUACUGUAGAGUAUAGUGGUAGGAGAGCAUCGUAUAUAGGAUGAAGCAGAAUCGAAAGAAAAAGUGGACCGUAUACGAGAGAGAAUGUUGGCAUGAGUAGCGAGAGGAAGGUGAGAAUCCUUCCGGCCGAAAACCUAAGGUUUCCUGAGGAAGGUUCGUCCGCUCAGGGUAAGUCGGGACCUAAGCCAAGGCCGAAAGGCGUAGGUGAUGGACAACGGGUAAUAAAUCCCGUACCACCGUAGUUGAAUGAGCGAAGGGGGGACGCAGGAGGAUGACCGGAGCACGCCGUUGGUAGAGCGUGUCCAAGCAGAAAGCGAGUAAGACCAGGCAAAUCCGGUAAUACAAUCGUAAUCUGUGAUGGGGAGUGAAAAUAAAGUAGCGAAGCCGAAUCAUUCAAACUGCCAGGAAAAGCCUCUAGCAAGACCAAGGUGCCCGUACCGCAAACCGACACAGGUAGGUGAGGAGAGAAUCCUAAGGCCAGCGAGAGAACUGUUGUUAAGGAACUCGGCAAAAUGACCCCGUAACUUAGGGAUAAGGGGUGCCUUAGAGAUAAGGCUUCAAGAAAAAGGCCCAAGCGACUGUUUACCAAAAACAUAGGUCUCUGCGAAACCGCAAGGUGAAGUAUAGGGGCUGACGCCUGCCCGGUGCUGGAAGGUUAAGAGGAGAUGUCAGGCAACGAAGCAUUGAAUUUAAGCCCCAGUAAACGGCGGCCGUAACUAUAACGGUCCUAAGGUAGCGAAAUUCCUUGUCGGGUAAGUUCCGACCCGCACGAAAGGCGUAACGAUUUGGGCACUGUCUCAACAACAGACUCGGUGAAAUUGUAGUACCGGUGAAGAUGCCGGAAACCUGCGACAGGACGGAAAGACCCCAUGGAGCUUUACUGUAGCUUAGUAUUGAAUUUAUGUAAUUAAUGUACAGAAUAGGUGGGAGGCGAAGAGAUUAGGUCGUCAGAUUUAAAGGAGCCGCCUUUGGGAUACCACCCUUUGAUUAUGUGAGUUCUAACCGGAAUCUUUGAAGCAAGGUACGGGACAGUGCUUGGCGGACAGUUUGACUGGGGCG